AUUGAACGCUGGCGGCAGGCCUAACACAUGCAAGUCGAGCGGAUGAAGGGAGCUUGCUCCUGGAUUCAGCGGCGGACGGGUGAGUAAUGCCUAGGAAUCUGCCUGGUAGUGGGGGAUAACGUCCGGAAACGGGCGCUAAUACCGCAUACGUCCUGAGGGAGAAAGUGGGGGAUCUUCGGACCUCACGCUAUCAGAUGAGCCUAGGUCGGAUUAGCUAGUUGGUGGGGUAAAGGCCUACCAAGGCGACGAUCCGUAACUGGUCUGAGAGGAUGAUCAGUCACACUGGAACUGAGACACGGACCAGACUCCUACGGGAGGCAGCAGUGGGGAAUUUUGGACAAUGGGCGCAAGCCUGAUCCAGCCAUGCCGCGUGCAGGAUGAAGGCCUUCGGGUUGUAAACUGCUUUUGUACGGAACGAAAAGCCUUCUUUUAAUACAGGAGGGUCAUGACGGUACCGUAAGAAUAAGCACCGGCUAACUACGUG
rnacentral:rRNA from 1 species